rnacentral:rRNA from 1 species
UGGGGAAUAUCGGACAAUGGGCGCAAGCCUGAUCCAGCCAUGCCGCGUGAGUGAUGACGGCCUUAGGGUUGUAAAGCUCUUUCGCUCGGGACGAUAAUGACGGUACCGAGAUAAGAAGCCCCGGCUAACUUCGUGCCAGCAGCCGCGGUAAUGCGAAGGGGGCUAGCGUUGUUCGGAAUUACUGGGCGUAAAGCGCGUGUAGGCGGGUCUUUAAGUCAGGGGUGAAAUGCCAAGGCUCAACCUUGGAACUGCCUUUGAUACUGGAGAUCUUGAGUCCGGGAGAGGUGAGUGGAAUUGCGAGUGUAGAGGUGAAAUUCGUAGAUAUUCGCAAGAACACCAGUGGCGAAGGCGGCUCACUGGCCCGGAACUGACGCUGAGACGCGAAAGCGUGGGGAGCAAACAGGAUUAGAUACCCUGGUAGUCCACGCUGUAAACGAUGGAUGCUAGCCGUUGGGGAGCUUGCUCUUCAGUGGCGCAGCUAACGCUUUAAGCAUCCCGCCUGGGGAGUACGGUCGCAAGAUUA